rnacentral:rRNA from 1 species
UACGAAGGGGGCUAGCGUUGUUCGGAAUUACUGGGCGUAAAGGGCUCGUAGGCGGCCAACUAAGUCAUGCGUGAAAUCCCUCGGCUUAACCGGGGAACUGCGUCUGAUACUGGAUGGCUUGAGUUCGGGAGAGGGAUGCGGAAUUCCAGGUGUAGCGGUGAAAUGCGUAGAUAUCUGGAGGAACACCGGUGGCGAAGGCGGCAUCCUGGACCGAUACUGACGCUGAGGAGCGAAAGCCAGGGGAGCAAACGGG